GGACUACCAGGGUAUCUAAUCCUGUUUGCUACCCACGCUUUCGUGUCUCAGUGUCAGUAAUGGUCCAGAAAGCUGUCUACACCACAGGUGUUCCUCCUGAUAUCUACGCAUUUCACCGCUACACCAGGAAUUCCGCUUUCCUCUCCCAUACUCGAGCACCCCAGUUUCCGCCGCACCCUCCCAGUUGAGCCGGGAGAUUUCACAACAGACUUAGAGCACCACCUACACACUCUUUACGCCCAGUAAUUCCGAACAACGCUUGCUGCCUACGUAUUACCGCGGCUGCUGGCAC
rnacentral:rRNA from 1 species